rnacentral:rRNA from 1 species
GACGAACGCUGGCGGCGUGCUUAACACAUGCAAGUCGAACGGAAAGGCCAUGCUUUUGUGGGGUGCUCGAGUGGCGAACGGGUGAGUAACACGUGAGUAACCUGCCCUUGACUUUGGGAUAACUUCAGGAAACUGGGGCUAAUAUCGGAUAGGAGCUCCUGCUGCAUGGUGGGGGUUGGAAAGUUUCGGCGGUUGGGGAUGGACUCGCGGCUUAUCAGCUUGUUGGUGGGGUAGUGGCUUACCAAGGCUUUGACGGGUAGCCGGCCUGAGAGGGUGACCGGCCACAUUGGGACUGAGAUACGGCCCAGACGCCUACGGGAGGCAGCAGUGGAGAGUAUUGCACAAUGGGCGGAAGCCUGAUGCAGCAACGCCGCGUGCGUGAUGACGGCCUUCGGGUUGUAAACCGCCUUCGCCUGUGACGAAGCGUGAUUGACGGUAAUGGGUAAAGAAGCACCGGCUAACUACGUG